AGAGAAACAGGCCCAGCCAAUGAAAAAACGCCGCAAGAUCUGCUACGACUUCUUGAGUUCCAUUGAUGCAACAGGAGAACUGGUGGCCUUGUUUGGGGAGGAUGGAGUGGAUGACAUCAAGAAAGAGAGGAUGCUGAGAGCUGAUCUACAGACCAGAUACAUGGACCAGAAACAAUACAUGGAGUAUUGUGAGGCGAGACAAAGCAACUUUGGAAGGAAGUACAAGAUACAGCGCUUCAAGGAUUGGCUGUUGGCGGGGAUCAACAUCGAGAUCAAACCCAAUCAUCACGCCAUAGAGCUCUUCAGUUACUUUGCUUACGAAACAGUGGCGCAGAUUGUGGAUAUGGCCUUAUUAGUUAAACAAGACAAGAAGUCCCUAUAUGGAGACCCUCUGACUAAGGAGGCACCAAAUGUAUGCAUCAACUACUACCACCAGAUAUCUGCUGGGUCAGGAAUCACAUCCCCUCCCCCCUCCACCCCAGGCGCAGUGUCCCCGGUACAGAGUCCUCCUGCUACCCCCACCACACCUGGAUCCACCCUCAGCCUGAGUUCUAGCUCUUCCUCUCUGAGUGCCUCUCUCCCAAAACCAAAGAGCAAGAAACGCAAAAAGAGUGGGGUAGGAAGUGCCUUGGAAAUCUCUACGGCCAUACAACCUGAAGACAUCCACGAGGCCAUGAGGAGGUAUCAUCAUUGUAUUGGACCAUUUUCCUCCUACAUUAAAACGAAUCCAAUGGUGCCUCAGCAUACAAAACUACUGUGCCUCUGACCCUUCCUCUUGUUACAAGGCUACAGUACAUGGAGCAGAGUUAAUGAUUGAGAGAUCAAGUUUAGAUGGGAUAUCUGCUACACAUAAUAUUGUUGCAAGUUCCUUAUAGGCAUGGGCCAGAUGUCUUUAACUCAAUAUUCUACCCCUAAUUCUAAACCAUGUCAGUUGGCUGUAUUUUACAAAACCGCAAGUUCAUUCGAUGCCAUGGUUUUCCAGGCAAGCUCAGAGGACUAUAGAUAAUACAACAUUAAAUUUGAAUCAGUAUGUUACUAUUUAGUUGUUGUGUCUAUAAUUCUCAAAUUAUAUUCAUGCAUACAACGUAUAUAUAACACAUUUGUACAUUUAACUGACCUAUAUGUACUAUGUACAUGUUUUAAGAUAUAUGUUAUGUUUAAAAUGUAUUCAUGCGCCCAUAAAUGAAAUAUAGUCACAAGACAAUUUGUGUUCAAAAAGCAGAUUUUAUUGAGCAAUGAUGUUAUAGACUUAUUCUUGUUCAAAGGACUAACAUGCACAUGUAUAUCAUAACAUCACAUUAAUAUUAAUACAUGUAUGUGACAAUAAAAUCAUUUGUUCUUGU
rnacentral:misc_RNA from 1 species